UGGAAUCUUCCACAAUGGGCGCAAGCCUGAUGGAGCAACACCGCGUGAGUGAAGAAGGGUUUCGGCUCGUAAAGCUCUGUUGUUAAAGAAGAACACGUAUGAGAGUAACUGUUCAUACGUUGACGGUAUUUAACCAGAAAGUCACGGCUAACUACGUGCCAGCAGCCGCGGUAAUA
rnacentral:rRNA from 1 species